rnacentral:rRNA from 1 species
UACGUAGGGGGCAAGCGUUGUCCGGAAUCAUUGGGCGUAAAGCGCGUGUAGGCGGCCCGAUAAGUCCGCUGUGAAAGUCCAGGGCUCAACCCUGGGAUGCCGGUGGAUACUGUCGGGCUCGAGUCCGGAAGAGGAGUGUGGAAUUCCUGGUGUAGCGGUGAAAUGCGCAGAUAUCAGGAGGAACACCAAUGGCGAAGGCAGCACUCUGGGACGUGACUGACGCUGAGACACGAAAGCGUGGGGAGCAAACAGG